CAAAGGAAGCGAUUCCGGCGGGGGAUGGGCAUGCGGCGCAUUAGCUAGUCGGCGGGGUAACGGCCCACCGAGGCGACGAUGCGUAGGGGUUCUGAGAGGAAGGUCCCCCACACUGGUACUGAGACACGGACCAGACUCCUACGGGAGGCAGCAGUGAGGAAUAUUGGUCAAUGGGCGGGAGCCUGAACCAGCCAAGUCGCGUGAGGGAAGACGGUCCUACGGAUUGUAAACCUCUUUUGCCGGGGAGCAACGGGGUCCUUGCGAGGGCCCGAUGAGAGUACCCGGAGAAAAAGCAUCGGCUAACUCCGUGCCAGCAGCCGCGGUAAUACGGAGGAUGCGAGCGUUAUCCGGAUUUAUUGGGUUUAAAGGGUGCGUAGGCGGGCUGUUAAGUCAGCGGUCAAAUGUCGGGGCUCAGCCCCGGCCUGCCGUUGAAACUGGCGGCCUCGAGUGGGCGAGAAGUAUGCGGAAUGCGUGGUGUAGCGGUGAAAUGCAUAGAUAUCACGCAGAACUCCGAUUGCGAAGGCAGCAUACCGGCGCCCUACUGACGCUGAGGCACGAAAGCGUGGGUAUCGAACAGGAUUAGAUACCCUGGUAGUCCACGCAGUAAACGAUGAAUGCUAGCUGUCCGGUUCUACGGGACUGG
rnacentral:rRNA from 1 species